UCUGCAGCGGAGAGGAGUGGCCGCGGGACCCGCAAGUCAGAGCCGUCCAACUACCCGCCGUCGGGUCUGAUUCCAAAUCCACUCGCGUGCAGCCACAAAUCCUCGCCGCCGCCGGCCCUCGGACCCAGCCGACGAGAUGCCGCCUUCCAGCUCCACCCCCCGCCUCGCGCUGCCCGCCAUGACCCGGUCCCAGGCGGACCCCGACCUCCCGUCCCUCAUCUCCGACCUCACCUCCCCGCUCCUCCACUCCCCCGCCGCAUCUUCCGGCGCCGCCGCCCCCGUCUUCUCCUCCUCCUCCCUCUCCAUCCCCGCCCCCGCCGCCGCGGCGCCCAAGCCAGCAGUCCCCACCCCUCUCGCGCGCGCCGCCAUCGGGGCCUGCGCGGGCGCCGCCGCGGGGGCCUUCACCUACGCCGCGCUGCUCCCCAUCGACGCCGUCAAGACCCGCCUCCAGGCCGCCGCGGCUCCCUCCGCCACCGCCUGGCAGGUCUUCCUCGACAUCCUCCGCACCGACGGGCCCCUCGGCCUCUACCGCGGCCUCUCCGCCGUCAUCCUCGGCUCCGCCUCCUCCUCCGCCGUCUACUUCGGCACCUGCGAGCUCGCCAAGUCGCUGCUCCGCCCCCACCUCCCGCCCUUCCUCGUGCCCCCGCUUGCCGGCGCCAGCGGCAACAUCUCCUCCUCCGCCAUCAUGGUCCCCAAGGAGCUCAUCACGCAGCGCCUCCAGUCCGGCGCCGCCACAGGCCGCUCCUGGGAGGUGCUCCUCCACAUCAUCCAGACCCACGGCUUCUUCGGCCUGUACACGGGAUACGCCGCCACGCUCCUCCGCAACCUCCCCACCGGGGUGCUCAGCUACUCCUCCUUCGAGUACCUCAAGGCAUUCACCCUCAAGAGUCGCCACAAGGAGAGCCUCACGCCAGGGGAGAGCGUGCUCUGCGGUGCUCUUGCAGGGGCUAUAUCCGCCGCACUCACCACUCCGCUGGACGUCGUCAAGACGCGCCUCAUGACCAGGGUCGGAACGGAGGGCAGCCGCACCGUGCUGGGGACGAUGAGGGAGGUGGUCGCCGAGGAGGGGCUCAUGGGCCUGUCCCGUGGCAUUGGGCCCAGGGUGCUGCACAGCGCGUGCUUCGCCGCGCUAGGCUACUGUGCCUUUGAGACCGCAAGGCUUGCCAUUCUGCAGUGGUACCUUGAAGGUUGCCAAAGGAAGGCUGCAGCACAGCCACAGAUGGAGCCUCGAGUUGCUGCUGCUGCUGCUGCCACUUGAAUUUGUCGUCUCUUCCUUCAUUCCUUGAGGGAAGGUACCCACUGGAACCACCGCAAUAGCCAUAGGGUAUUGCACUCCAGAUGCAUGGAAAUCCCAACCUUUGGCUUUUGUAAGGCCCCAGCCGUAUCUCCUGGGAUCAAACCAUUAGGGGUUCAAGAGGUUCCAGAUUCGCAAGGAAAAACUAGGGAAGUUCAUCUUAGUUGUGUAGCCAUGUGCGGCAUGUCUGGCGGUCAAGUAAUAUGCAUCAAUGGUGUGAUUGGAGUGAUCACCGGUGGCGACAGCGAGUUGCGGACCACCUACGCAGUUUGUAGUGAAACGGUUGGCCAAGUGAUCAGGUGUUGGCUUGCUAGCAGAUGACGGGAGGAGACCAAUAGGAUGGUAGAUAUGAUCCCAAUCAGGAGACAAUAGUUUGCUCCCCCCUUUUGGAGUCUCAACGCACCUUUUGACUUUCCUUAUCUGUUGUCUUGCAUGUUGGCCACUGUGAUGAAUGUGAUAUUUCUUCAAGUAACAAUGGAGAGCAUUGGACUACCAACCCAUGUCCAAACUGUGUUCCGUAUGUCAGAGGUUCCAGAACCAUACAUCCGCCGAAGAGCAGUCAGACAUUUAGAGAAAGGAAGGGUUGUUAUAUUUGCUGCUGGGCCAGGAACCCGUUCUUUACAACUGAUACAGCUGGUGCUCUUCGAUGUGCAGAAAUCAAUGCAGAGGUAGUGCUCAAAGCGACAAAUGUAGAUGGUGUGUACGAUGCGGAUCCCAGGCAUAAUCCCAACGCCCGUCUUAUUGAGACUCUGAGCUAUCAUGAAGUGACAUCAAGAGAUCUCUCAGUAAUGGACAUGACUGCAUUACAUUAUGCCAGGAAAACAACAUUCCCGUUGUUGUGUUUAACUUGCAAAAGACUGGAAACAUUGCAAAGGCAAUUGUUGGUUUGUGGUAAGAAGGUUGGUACCUUUAUUGGCUGCACAAGAACGAAAUCAGGAACAAAAUGGAAACACACAGCGUGGAGAAAGAAGAUUGGUUAACGAGGUGUGAGCUCAACAGCUUCACGAGCUGUGGGCUCCCCCCUCUUUUCUUAUUUAGUUUACGCGUAGGAGGUUUUAGGGGAUUGAAGCUGGGAUUAGGAUAGAUUAGUGAUCAAAAUUCUAAUAGCUGUAAUAUUGGAAGGAGACACUUAGGGACAAAAUUUUCCAGCCGAGUGCUGCUAUCCAUCCUGUGUACAAUACUGUUACGUAAUAAAGCAAAUCUGUAUAAAGAUUGCCUGCAGCGCACCUGAAGAACAA